AUGAUGGUAAGAAAAUUCGGAGGUGUUCGGAAAUUAGUAAUAUAAAAUUUUAAUCCUUUAUUUUAAUGUACAAUUUGAUGAAUAUUAAUAUCUCAAUAAAGAGAUUGAAUGAAAAUAUUGUAAUUUUGCUUUAAAAUGGGAAAAAAAAUUCGUCCAAAAGAUAAUUGGAAAAUAGAAUUUUGUUUUCUUUUACCAAAAUUUUAGGCACUAAAUUUGAGAGAGAAGAAAGACCCAAAAGCGGCAGCGAACUGAACCAGAAACUGAUGCCUGCAACUGCCACCAGGUGCCUUGAUCAUUUUUCUUUUCCUGAAGAUAUUCAUUCACCCAAGACUGUCAAGAGGAUUUUCAUUUCAAUAAUAUUAUCCUAGCAACAUAACAUCCUUUCUUCCUGAAGUUGGUGGUUAGUCCUGGUACAGUUGGUGGCUAGUCCUGUGUUUAAAUGGUAGCAUUUUUGGACCAUUGUUAAUUCCAUAUAAAGCAUGACAAAAAAGCGUUGAAUCAUGUGACUUUGCUGCUUCUUGUGCUGGUGGAUAAAUGUCUGAUCAUGCUUUAACUGUACAAGAUGCUUCUCUUACUGUGAUAGAUCAUCUAUUAGCUAUAGGACAAGAAUUUCCUGAUGAAUAUUAAUUUCUCUGAUCCCCUUAUCUUGUUCGUGAAAAACAAAACAAGUAAAAAGGAGAAAAAUAAAAAGAAAACCAAAACUUUGUGAAAUGGUAAUUUAGAAACUUAGCGGAUUGAAAAUAGGCCUAACCGAUUGAGGGUUCUCCAAGAAAGUUGAAGGAAAUCAGAAAAAGAAGAAGAGGUUGUUAGAGAAGGAAGCCAUUUUUUAGGUUAAACAAGAUGUUGGAGAAAAAUGUGGAGUUUUGGGUGGACAUUUUGGAAGGUGUCCAUUUUCUGCACCUAAAUGUGGGUUCUUAAAAAAAAUUGGGGGACAAGAUUUCUGUAGUUUUUCCUUUCUAUAUUUGGAGCCUUUCCAGCCUUUGAAUUUUUACUUUUUCCAGCAGUUAUUUAAGGAACGUAAAUUUUGAUUCAUGUGCAUGCAUGUUAUUCACCGGCCUAUUUCCAAAUUAUUAAAAUUCUUAAAAACUGCUUUUGUACCUGGGAGAUGGAUAGGCGAAAACACAAUCCUAGUGAAUGAGAUUAUUCACUCGAUGAAGAAGAAGAAAAAAGGUAACGGAAUCGUCGGUUUUAAGAUAGACAUGAUGAAAGCUUAUGAUAGAGUGGAUUGGACUGUUCUAACCAGAAUUUUAUCGAAAUUUGGCUUCUCCCACAAGUUCAUUACCUUAGUGCUGCGCUGCGUGGCAUCGGAUUCUGUGGAGCUCCUCUUAAACGGAAGUGUGUUUAGCAAAAUCGAAAUGAACAGAGGACUCCGACAAGGAGACCCCCUCUCCCCUUCAUCAUUUACCCCGAGCUGCUCUCAAGGAUGAUAGUGAAAUUGGAAGGUGAAGGGAAAAUUCAUGGUAUCAAGUUAGGAAGAUCUAGGCCGGGCAUCUCUCAUUUGAUAUUUGCAGAUGAUAUCCUCCUCUUCUGCAGAGCAAACCCGGGUGAGGUAAGGGAAUUGUUUGAUUGUAUCACUAAAUACUGCAAAUGGACAGGCCAAAGAAUGAAUAUGUCCAAGUCUGGCUGUUUUUUCUCCAAAAGUGUAGCUGGAAAAACAAAGGCAAUUGUUAAGAAAUUAUUAGGCAUUAAUGAGUUGUCCAAGGAAUCAAAAUACUUAGGCAACCCAUUAUUCUCUGCUCGAAAUCAUUCCAAGGCCUAUGAGGAUCUCAAACAGAAGAUUGAAGCCAAGCUACAAGGUUGGAAGGCAAAAUUAUUAUCUCAAGUACACGUUAGUGAAAUCUAUCGUCAACGCCAUCCCCAUUUAUGCUAUGUCUGCAAACAAUCUCCCCUCCAGUUGGUGUCAUGAUAUUGAGAAGUUGGCGAAUAACUUCCUUUGGCAGAAAUGAGAAACGGGGAAGACUUUUAUUCCCAUCUCCUGGUCCCGCAUCUGCAGACCCAAAGCAGCCGGAGGUCUCGGCAUAAGGAGACUCAAAGAUAUGAAUCAAGCUCUUCUAAGCAAACUUGGAUGGUACCUGGUCACAGACUCCAAUAGAGUGUGGGUCAAGGCUUUAAAAGGAAAAUACUAUGCAAGCAGUACGUUCUUGAGAUGCAAGAAAAAGAAAGGCAAUUCUUGGAGUUGGAAUGGCAUUUUGCUUGCCAGGAAACUUUUAAUGAAUGGUCUGUGCUAUAGAAUAGGGAAAGGGACUGACAUCAAUAUUUGGGAGGACCCUUGGGUCCCAAACAACCCAGAGUUUAAGCCCACCCUUCUCUUGCAUGGAGGCAAUAGUGACGUACAAAUGGUCAACUCGCUUAAACUUCGGGAUGGAAACUGGAAUGUUUCUAAGCUCAAAAGUUUGUUUGACGGCAGUACUGUUAGAAAUAUUUGCAAAAUCCCUUGUAUCAACCAAAGUAUGAACGACAAAUUGAUCUGGUGUGGAAACUCGAACGGUUGCUUCUCAGUCAAGUCAGCUUUUCACAUGGAAGUUUGGAAAAAUUAUUCAAGCUCUCCUUGGUGGAAACAUUUAUGGGCCUCUAAAAGACAUGAAAGAGUAAAAAUUUUCUUAUGGAAAUUGGCCAACAAGGGUCUGCCCACUGCCUCCAAUCUUUUAGACAGAAAUAUGUUGAUCGACAAUCAAACGUGUGUGCAUGGUUGUGGUUGUAGAGAAUCAGAUAGUCAUUUAUUCUUCCACUGCCAGGUUGCAAAGGCAUUAUGGUUUGCCUCACCUUGGAGCAAAAAGUGGGACUCUCUUGAAGAUCAACCGUUAGAACAGAAAUUAUUGAUUCUAUCCAACCCAUCCUCAAGUGUUACCUGUUCGUGCUGAUGACCAUGCAACGUUUUUCCUUUAUGCAACUCUUAUUCGGGAUCAGAUAUGGUACAUAAGGAACAGCUCCUUAUUCAAAAACAAGAUUUUCUGUUUGGAUGAUGUUAUUUGCAGGCUGGAAAUUAGAUUUCAAGAAGCUCAAAAUGUAGCCACACGCUGUCUGGGAGGUCUCAGGGUGAUACAUUGCAGGCCAGCCAGAAGCAAACCACCCAUACAAUGCAUCAAGAUUAAUACAGACGCAGCAAUCAGGGAUGAUUCUAGUCUGGUAGGGAUAGUGGCAAGAGACCAGCAGGGAAAAAUGCUUCGAAUUAAGUCAGUCAGAUGUCCUUCAGACAUUCCGGAGGUUGCUGAAGCUUAUGGUUUGAUGCAUGGUUUGAUGCUAUCCAAAAGUUGAUUUGUUAAUUUUUAAUGAAAUUUAAUAUGUGUGCUUCAUCCCAGUUUAUUUUCACUCCAACAGAAGAUCGAAAUGAUACCCUCAAACAAGGCUGAGAGUCUCUAGAGGGUAGAGAAGUGCUGGUUGGCCAAAGCUCUCGUUAUAACAAUUGAAUGUCACGAAAAACAUUGAUCAAUAUAUUGUGUGUUGGCAAGAGGAA